UUUAGGGAGACCAACCACAGUGGGAGUAUCAAGUAAGCAAUUACUCUCCGGCUGUAGUCAUCCCAGGUCAUCGAGAGUUAGUCUAAAAGCUUUCAAACUAUUAAUGGUUCGGUUCAAAAAAUGUGGCAACACAUCUAGCAAUCUGACAUUCGUUUUUGCCAGCCUGCUGGAAGUAUUCCAGCUAGAACCUUGAAAACUGCAUAGCAACAAAAAAAGUAGGUAGUCAAACAGAACUACAAGGUACAUUAAGUACUGUGUAGAAUCUUAUUGACAAAAAAAUAGU
rnacentral:misc_RNA from 1 species